GCAAAAGCCUGCCUGAUUCUGAU
rnacentral:misc_RNA from 1 species